rnacentral:rRNA from 1 species
ACGGAGGGUCCGAGCGUUAUCCGGAAUCAUUGGGUUUAAAGGGUCCGCAGGCGGCCAGAUAAGUCAGUGGUGAAAUUCCGUGGCUCAACCACGGAACUGCCAUUGAUACUGUUUGGCUUGAAUCAGUUCGAGGAUGCCGGAAUGUGUGGUGUAGCGGUGAAAUGCAUAGAUAUCACACAGAACACCAAUUGCGAAGGCAGGUGUCCAGAACUGUAUUGACGCUGAUGGACGAAAGCGUGGGUAGCGAACAGG